CCACUGGUUCUUGAUCUGAGCCGCAGGCAGCGCCUUCACCGCAUACAUCUCGUGCAUCAAUUGAUGAUCCGAGGCCCGGAAAUAACCCGGCCGUGUUUUCAGGAGAUCGAACUUCGCACCCUUCUCGAAGUGCUCGAUGAUCUUCNACUUCAGAUCGUUCAUGGACUGCGCCACGAUCUUGGUGGCGAUGUAGUCGCCCCACGCCUGGUUCUCCGGCGGCUUGUUGUAUUUCUUGGUGAAGGCGGCAACGAAAGCCUUGCUGCCUGGCGUGUCGAGCAGAUGAUGCCAGACCAC
rnacentral:misc_RNA from 1 species